UAGGGAAUCUUCGGCAAUGGACGAAAGUCUGACCGAGCAACGCCGCGUGAGUGAAGAAGGUUUUCGGAUCGUAAAACUCUGUUGUUAGAGAAGAACAAGGACGUUAGUAACUGAACGUCCCCUGACGGUAUCUAACCAGAAAGCCACGGCUAACUACGUGCCAGCAGCCGCGGUAAUACGUAGGUGGCAAGCGUUGUCCGGAUUCAUUGGGCGUAACGCGAGCGCAGGCGGUUUCUUAAGUCUGAUGUGAAAGCCCCCGGCUCAACCGGGGAGGGACAGUGGAAACUGGGAGAGUUGGGUGCAGAAGAGGAGAGUGGAAUUCCAUGUGUAGCGGUGAAAUGCGUAGAUAUAUGGAGGAACACCAGUGGCGAAGGCGGCUCUCUGGUCAGUAACUGACGCUGAGGCUCGAAAGCGUGGGGAGCAAACAGG
rnacentral:rRNA from 1 species